rnacentral:rRNA from 1 species
GGGUCAGUAGGUUGGUCGUGCCACCGGUACGUUCUGGUCUCACUGAUUCCUCCUUCCUGAAGAACCGUAAUGCCAUUAAUUUGGUGUUGCGGGGAAACAGGACUGUUACUUUGAAAAAAUUAGAGUGUUUAAAGCAAGCUAUCGCUUGAAUACAUUAGCAUGGAAUAAUGAAAUAGGACGAUCGAUCCUAUUUUGUUGGUUUCUAGGAUUGACGUA